rnacentral:rRNA from 1 species
ACUCAAAGGAAUAGACGGGGGCCCGCACAAGCAGCGGAGCAUGUGGUUUAAUUCGAAGCAACGCGAAGAACCUUACCAGGGCUUGACAUCCCUUGAAGUGCAUGGAAACAUGUACGUCCUUCGGGACAAGGAGACAGGUGGUGCAUGGUUGUCGUCAGCUCGUGUCGUGAGAUGUUGGGUUAAGUCCCGCAACGAGCGCAACCCUUAUGGUUAGUUGCCAGCACGAAAGGUGGGAACUCUAAUCAGACUGCCGGGGAUAACUCGGAGGAAGGUGGGGAUGACGUCAAAUCAUCAUGCCCCUUAUGUCCUGGGCUACACACGUGCUACAAUGGCCGGUACAGAGGGAAGCGAAGGCGAGAGUUGGAGCGAAUCCCAAAAAGCCGGUCCCAGUUCGGAUUGUGGGCUGCAACCCGCCCACAUGAAGCCGGAGUUGCUAGUAAUCGCGAAUCAGCAUGUCGCGGUGAAUGCGUUCCCGGGCCUUGUACACACCGCCCGU